UUAAAUUGAAGAGUUUGAUCAUGGCUCAGAUUGAACGCUGGCGGCAGGCCUAACACAUGCAAGUCGAACGGUAACAGAAAGCAGCUUGCUGCUUUGCUGACGAGUGGCGGACGGGUGAGUAAUGUCUGGGAAACUGCCUGAUGGAGGGGGAUAACUACUGGAAACGGUAGCUAAUACCGCAUAACGUCGCAAGACCAAAGAGGGGGACCUUCGGGCCUCUUGCCAUCGGAUGUGCCCAGAUGGGAUUAGC
rnacentral:rRNA from 1 species